AUUCUACAAAGCAAGGAGGUUCGAAUUUCUAAACUCCUUGCAUCAAAGUGACAAUCGGUAUUUGUUUUGUUAUGGUGGAAUGUCAGAUGAUACAAUGCCGUUGGGCAUAAAGCCUGAGUGCUAUAAGUGUAAUGUAACUGAAAGUAAACUUUGGAAACAGACAGCCGAUGGCUUCGUGUGUGCCGACUGUUGUGAUUUGGUAACUAAGACCUCUUGCCCUCCCAAGAAUGAAGACAUUGCUUCACAGUCGUCGAAGUCCCAAGAAACAGCGCCACGUAUUGCAACUCGUAAGAGUACAAGAAGUACGCGGAAUUACAAAACAAGAUUAAAUCCAUACGCUCUUCCGAAGCCUCUUACUCCAAAGGGUAAAGGGAGACGUGUUAUCUUCAAGAAAACCCCAACCAAAGCACCUACGGCAGUUGCUACACCUGUGACAAGCAAUUACGUAUUUUACAAGGGUAGCUAUUUCCAGGUUGGGGACAUAGUCUCUGUGCAGGACAUUGAUGGUGGGUUAUAUUAUGCCCAAAUAAGAGGUCUCCUUACAGAUCAGUACUGUGAAAAAAGCUGUGUUCUGACGUGGCUCAUUCCUACCACUGCCAGUCCUGAUCCCAAUGAGGGAUUCGAUCCCUCAACCUACAUAAUUGAACUUCAACAACAAAGAGGAAGAACCAGCAGACCUGAAGAACAACUGCUCUUUAAAGAUCCUUUCUUGCAGGAAUUCCACUUGGUCACUGUGAGCUGCAGGACUGACUGUUGGGGAGCUAUGGGGGCCACUGUCCGGCAGGCCAUCUGAAGGUCUAGCUAUCAGGGCACUACCUAAGAACAGAUUGGCAUCUGUAAUUUUUUUGGCAUGACACCACUGCUGCCCAUGUCCAUUCCUGUGACCAACUUCGAAGCUGCUGAUCUCUCUCAUACCAGGAGGCCACGGUGCUUCUCUGCAUAAGCUGGUAGACGCAUUUCCUGUGUGCAGUCCACGACAGGAUUGUAGGUCCUGAUGAGGAGCUACCAAGACUCUUGUCGUGCAUGGAAUUUGUUAUGCAUGCGCCAUCGGAUUAUUAUAAAAAUCGCAAAUCCCCAUAUCCUUCUGUAGAUUAUGAUAGUAAUGAUCCAAAUUUCAUAUGGACUCGUCUUCCAACAUACGUUCACAAAUUGUAGUAUAUUAAUAAAAUUAUGUAAAUAUA